AAUCUUUUGUCUCCACAGUCAUUCACUUCCACACAAAACCAACUGUUGCCUAUUUGGGUAGUGGACUAGAAAAACCAUAGUAUAACUGAAGAGUUCUGGAUUGGAGAAAAGUCCAGCUUUUGAACAGAAAAAAGGGAAGAAUCCUUGAGUUCUCCACUGUGAAGAGCAGGUGCCAGAUACAAACCUUGUUCAAGAAAGAAAGCUGAUGAUCUCAGAAACAUUUUUGUUAUCCUGUUGUUGAUCUUACAAAACCAGAUGAAAAGUUGAAUUUUUCUUUUUCUUACCCAGCCUACCCAUGUCUUUAAUUUCUCUAUGCACUGCAAAUAAGUUAUUGAAGAAG
rnacentral:lncRNA from 1 species